AUGACCAGUCGACCAUGCACUCCUCUCAAACAACGAUGCAAUAGAGAUAAGGUCGAUUUGACCUCACAACUUUAUUGUUCGAUCGGCACACCGUAUGGGCACGACCCGGACACUGCCCCCUUCAGUAGCGCCGAAAGCAUGCGUACUAUGGUUGGUUGUAGACAGCUGCAUACAAUAAAUUCAAGGUCUAUACAUACGAGUGGAAUGGAACAUGAAUCGGCACAACACUUCUUCUGCAAGAACAAACACUUCUUCUGCAAGAACAUGUCGACUGGAAAUCCGAUACUUCGAUGUGCAUGCGGCAUGCCAUGCGCCAGGAAAGCUGGAUCUGCGGUGGCGAGGCAGGACAAGUUCUACUUCAGCUGCGUGAACUAUGGGGUUCAGAGGAGAGCGUGCGAGGUCUACGUGUGGGAGGAUGUACUGGAGGAAUACAUGCAAAAGAGAAUCCAAGCUGAACGAGUGAAGCUGCGGGAGGUGACAGAAGACCGAGACGAGUUCAUCGAGGAAAUGGCUGAUAGGAACAGGGAGAUCAGGAACCUCAGGACGAUGAACAAGAAAAUGGUGUCUGGUUCGUCCUCAUCUGAUUACAAGCAAUCCGAUGAGGAAUCAUCAGAAGGGUUCGAUGUGUAUCCUACACAACACAUCGGUACACCAGAAGAGUUAGAGUCAGAUGGCGCUAGAAAGGGCAAGAAGAAGGCAUCACAAAACCCAAUAAAUUCAAGGAGCAGCAUAAAAAAGAUGAAGGCCUUGAUUGAUGGGCUGUCUGAAGAAAAAAAGGCUCUGGUACGUGAGAUGGGGUUCGAAGGACUAUUGGAAUUACCAGCAAUAAGGCAAACAGGCAACAAUCCAUGUGGCUUAUGA
rnacentral:rRNA from 1 species